rnacentral:rRNA from 1 species
GACGAACGCUGGCGGCGUGCCUAAUACAUGCAAGUCGAGCGAAGUUUUUCUGGUGCUUGCACUAGAAAAACUUAGCGGCGCACGGGUGAGUAACACGUAAAGAACCUGCCUCAUAGACUGGGACAACUAUUGGAAACGAUAGCUAAUACCGGAUAACAGUAUUUCUCGCAUGAGAGAUAUUUAAAAGUUGGUUAUGCUAACACUAUGAGAUGGCUUUGCGGUGCAUUAGCUAGUUGGUGGGGUAAAGGCCCACCAAGGCGACGAUGCAUAGCCGACCUGAGAGGGUGAUCGGCCACACUGGAACUGAGACACGGCCCAGACUCCUACGGGAGGCAGCAGUAGGGAAUCUUCCGCAAUGGGCGAAAGCCUGACGGAGCAACGCCGCGUGAGUGAAGAAGGAUUUCGGUUCGUAAAGCUCUGUUGUUAGGGAAGAAUGGAUAUGUAGUAACUAUACAUGUAAGAGACGGUACCUAACCAGAAAGCCACGGCUAACUACGUG